UCUACUCCAUCAAAGGCUCUACUAUUCCUCUCUUUCCAUACGAUCCACAUAAGUGCUAGGGGAGCAACAACUCAUGUCAUGUGUCUUCUCUUCCGUCUCAUAAAACCCAGCUAAAAUUAUUUCUAUUAUGGUGCCCGGCAUCACCCACUCCAUACCACACCAUCUCAAAAUUUUCAACCACAAGUAAGAUGUUAUCCGAGAAUGUAAAAUGAGGCAAUUCACAUUCUCUCCUGAUUCUUUAAACAUGAAGCAUUAGCUAACAUAAGUAAUCUUCCUCGUCCACAAAUUCUCCGCCGUCAAAAUCACUCGUCUGAUAGCUAGCCAAUUGAAGAACCAUUCUCGCUAUUUAUGGAAUCUAUACCAAAUUAUGUGGAAAAGUUGGCUCCUCUCUCAUCAGAAGCUACUCAUAAUAGGACUUACUGGAAAAAACGUUAUUUUUCCCGCCUCCAUUCUCCAUGCAUCAUGUCUAUCCUGUGAUAUUUUUUUAUUGUGAAACAGUACGGGCAAGUUUUGAUAUUCCUCUACCUCCCAGUCUUGCAAGUUCCUCCUAAAUCUCAAGUCUCAUUGCAUUUCUCCCCCUUAUAAGCUCCACAAUCGUAAGACCGGCAUCUUCUUUUGGCUUGAUAUAUUGUACAUGUUCAGAUACGUGACUCUCAAUGGGUUGCUCUCGCACCACCUAUGAUCUCAAAAACUUAUCUUCUUCCCCUUACCCACCCUGAAUAAUAUAUUUCAAUUAAAAUUUUUCCAUCCUUUUAUAAUAUUUCUUCAUAAC
rnacentral:lncRNA from 1 species